GAUGGAGCUCAGGAUCCCAUUUGCUUUCCGAUCUGCCAGAGCACACUGCUGGCUCGUGAAGUUUUUCAUAAAUCAGGACCCUCGUAGCGCAGCAGAAAUAUUGUGGAAUAUCAGUCAUUUUUCAUCCAGGGAGGACCGGUACAGUUCUCCUUUGCUUCUUGUGUUACUUCCAAACCUGACAUUAUGCUGAUAACACCUUUCCCCUUUUUCACCCUUUUACUGCCCCUAAUGACCUCUGCUCGCUUCUCAACUAUAACAGUUGCCACAAGGACAUUCAUAGGAGAAUUUGGAACGUGCUCCGUGUCUCCUGUAAUCACUUUGUGUCCCUUGUUGCCAUUCUGCAGACUUCACCAACUUGCCACAGAUGGAUCCAAACACAAUAUACACACCUAAGGGAGAAGCAGGACUAUAUUUAUUGAAAUAGUACAAAUAGGUUGUAGUGAUUUAACAGUGACACAGCAAGAUGGGAGAUGGUCGGAUACACUUGGUUAUUUCCUGCAUAGAGGAUAGGGAUACACCCACACCUACGGCAGACCUUCCUGUUGAGUCACGAGGCUCAGAGCGGUCCCUGUUCCUAUGUGAAGUCCGCAAGCCACAAAGAAUCUCUCUAUCCGGAAGGAGUCUUGGCGGCAAGGUGCAGGUGUGCAGGUGUGACCUCGAGAGACAUCCCUACUUGAGGGGAGAUCCCGUUGUGCAGCACACUGCUGUGCAGGAGAACUCGAAGGGCACCUGGGCUGCUCCCUGUUUUGGGGCUCCAGUUCAACUUCUGUCUUCCAGCCAUGAUCAUCUCAGCUGCAGGAGAGCAGCAGAUGGCCACAGCACAUCCAUUUCAGG